rnacentral:rRNA from 1 species
GACAGAGGGUGCAAACGUUGUUCGGAAUUACUGGGCGUAAAGGGCGCGUAGGCGGCCCUGUGUGUUCGGGUGUGAAGCCCACCUCUUAAAGGUGGAAUUGCAUUCGAAACUACAGGGCUGGAGUGUCGGAGAGGAUGGCGGAAUUCCUGGUGUAGAGGUGAAAUUCGUAGAUAUCAGGAGGAACACCGGUGGCGAAGGCGGC